rnacentral:lncRNA from 1 species
CGUAGACACAUCCAUCGGCAUGGUUGACCAAGAUUGCUUGAGUAAGCAUAGUGUGGUCAAUACUGAAUCCUGAGCAGCCUCGCUACCAGAGUUCAAUGCUGCCACAAGAUGAGGGAUACAAAGUGUAGCAGCAUCAGAAAUAUGGAGCUUGGGAAAAUUAGAAAAUAUUACAUGAAUGGUCCGCAGAAUUUCCUCAUUAGCAGUUGCGGUGGCCCAUAAUUCCUUCUCCAGUGCAGCUGCGUCAGAAACAUGGAGCUUGGGAAAAUUAGAAAAUAUUACAUGAAUGGUCCGCAGAAUUUCCUCAUUAGCAGUUGCUGUAGCCCAUAAUUCCUUCUCCAGU